AUGGCUCACAGGGCUAUACCAAAUAAAUGAAAACUAUGAAACUAUGUCUACAGAUUUACCAGCAACUGAAUUUCCAACAGCAACAACAAAGUCACCAUCAGCAAUAUCAUCACCAAGCACCGAGGCUCCAUCGUUCGAAUCAACAUCAGCACCAAAUUCUCCAGCAGGAUCAACAACAGCAUCGACGCCCGGACCAACUCGUCCGCCAGCAAGCACGACCACGACCAAUACGACAGCAGCUCCUCCAAGUAAACACUGCACACACAGCACACGCUUUGGUAUAUGCCAGUGACUGAGAGAGUGCCCUUAGAUAGAAAUGGAUAGGCUGAUGGCUUUAUGUCUGUGAAAAAAAAUGUUUUCAGUAUUGGAAAGUAAUUGGAGUGAAGUGAUGGUUUGGGUCACACCUGAUUUGAUCUUGAUCAGAUGGUCAAAUCCAGUUUUAUUGUCUGAAUAGGAUCAAAUUCUAUCCCCAGUUUAGUAACA